GUCCGGAUCGGCCCAGCGCGAGGCUCGAGACGACUGACAGAGACACAAACACAAGAUCAGAGUCCAGUUUAUCUGAGAUUUCUUCAAAUUUUAGUGACCGCAGACACCAGGAAGUUCAUCAGGAUAUCCUCACAGUUGGCCAGCUGGUCCACCAUACUCUUCAGGCUGCUUGGCAGGAAGUGGGUGUACAGGAAGUGGUAAUAUCUGCAGGACAGGGACAUCUUCAAGGACCAGCCAAUGCUAAACUCAAAAAAGCUCAAUAGGACAAUGAAGGAAUCAAUGGGUAUGUGUGGGCAGGGUGGUAUUAAACCCUUCAGUGGACCCUGACGCCAAGCAAAUGCUCAGACUGUGGCUCUGGUUUGGUCCCCGAGGCUUCAGUUUGGUGUAAACUUCAGUCCAGAUGAACCCAGAGCACUGAAAAGGCUUCUAACGUGAAGAGAUCCACUCAUCUUCAAGAGCAAAACAACAUGGCGCUGUGUGUCCUCAUCGGGUCAGAUUGCAUAAACAAACUUCAGUUUCAGACAUCAAACCGCCGAGAGUUCACCGAGAGAACAUCCACAACACAUCCUGAUGCUUGUAUCUGUGCUGGGUUCGAAUGUUUUAAUGCAUUUUAAGUCUAUUUAGAUUUUUUUCUUAUACUUAUUUUGUGAAUAUUUAAUUUAUGUAA